rnacentral:rRNA from 1 species
CAUGUAGGCGGUUGUUUAAGUCUGAUGUGAAAGCCCUGGGCUCAACCCAGGAAGUGCAUUGGAUACUGGGCAACUUGAGUACGGGAGAGGAAAGUGGAAUUUCGAGUGUAGGGGUGAGAUCCGUAGAUAUUCGAAGGAACACCAGUGGCGAAGGCGGCUUUCUGGACCGAUACUGACGCUGAGAUGCGAAAGCGUGGGGAGCAAACA